rnacentral:rRNA from 1 species
AUACGUAGGUCCCGAGCGUUAUCCGGAAUUACUGGGCGUAAAGGGUUCGUAGGCGGAUUCCUAAGUUCGGCGUGAAAUGCCGGGGCUCAACCCCGCGCGUGGUGCCGGAUACUGGGAGUCUAGGAUGGGGGAGGGGCAAGCGGAAUGGUACGAGUAGGGGUGCAAUCCGUUGAUACGUACCGGAACACCGAAAGCGAAGGCAGCUUGCUGGAACCCGAUCGACGCUGAUGAACGAAAGCGUGGGGAGCGAAAAGGAUUAGAUACCCUUGUAGUCCACGCCCUAAACGAUGGACGCUGAGUGUCGGGGUUCGUCCCCGGUGCUUCAAACUAACGCGUUAAGCGUCCCGCCUGAGGAGUACGGUCGCAAGAUUAAAACUCAAAUGAAUUGACGGGG